UUUACCUGCUAAGAUUAAAAACAAAUGUCUUUAGUUUCAUUUGUGUAUACGUAUAUUUAUUUGAAAGUGAUUUGUGUAACUUUCCUAUACUUUUCACUCCUGCCGUGUUUUUGUACUGUUUGCUGUUGUAACGUUCUGAGCCUGUGCCCCUACUGGACAUCUGUGAAAAAGAGCUUCAUAGCUCAUCGGAUUCCUCCACAAUGAGUGCAAGAUUUUGAUUCUGAUAGCCCCGUGCCACGCGCCCUGACAGCGUCUCCGCACGGAGGGCCUCUGUCUCUGUGCACCCCCCCCCCCCCAGGUGCGACGCAGCGGAGCGGUGACCUUUGGUGACGUUGCAGCAGCAAUCAUUUGCCUCUCUCCCCGGAAGAACGUCACCCGCACAUCCUCGGCGCUGCGUGCAGCCUGAGCACCACGAUGCAGCAGCAACAGCCGCAGGAGGAACACUACGGCAGGAACAUCAGCAUGGAACAACAGCGGAACGACAGGCACGGGGCGAGAGAGAGAGAGAGAGCACGUGCUCGGCCCCUCGCGGCCCCUCCGCCUCCACGCGUCACGUGACGCCCGCGAUCACAACGCUUCUUGAGACUGGAGUUGCCACCAGUCGGGGCCCCGCGAUGCCACAGCCCGCGCGACUCGUGCACGAUGGCUGCUCUCCGCUCCGGGUUCUCUUCUCCCCGCGAUGUCGCUGUCCGGCACCCGCCCCACGUCCCUUCACCGCCGCUGUUGCCGCCUCGAAUCUGCAUUUGUUACCCGCUCCACGCGAUGCCCUUUCUGUUCCUCCGUUCAAUUUCAUGCGAACGAAAAUAAAAUUCAACGAACAAACAAAGCAGUUGCUAGAGUUGA